rnacentral:rRNA from 1 species
GACGAACGCUGGCGGCGUGCUUAACACAUGCAAGUCGAACGACUUGGCGAACUGAUGAGUAACGCAUACUCAACCUGCCCUUCAGAGGGUGACAACUGCUGGAAACGACUGCUAAUACCGCAUACUGAAGGAGGGGAUUGCGUCUGAUUAGCUAGUUGGAGGGGUAACGGCCCACCAAGGCGAUGAUCAGUAGCCUGUCUGAGCGGAUGAACGGCCACAUUGGGACUGAGACACGGCCCAGACUCCUACGGGAGGUAGCAGUGGGGAAGCUUCCGCAAUGGACGAAAGUCUGACGGAGCAACGCCGCGUGAGUGAUGACGGCCUUCGGGUUGUAAAGCUCUGUUAAUCGGGACGCGGUACCGGAAUAGAAAGCCACAGCUAACUACGUGCCAGCAGCCGCGGUAAUAC